GCGGACUACCCCUGCUCUCAGUCCCACUGUGCUAUUGAUGGAAAGGACGGAGAGCAAUCCUUGGUGGGACUGGACUGAUCUAAACAUUUCUCUUGCCACUAACAGCUGCAUGGUUCAAGUCUACUGGAUGCUUGCACUCUGUCUGCUCACCAGUCCCUGCCAACAGUCCCUGCCCACAGUCCCGGCAUGAGUUCGCCGAUAGCCGCAGAAGUCACCGAUUGCUCCAGAUCCUAGACUUGGACUCACUGGCAGUGAAAGAGAUUUGCCUCAAAAUGUAAAAUUCAUACCUCAAAAAAAUGUUCAGAGAAAAA
rnacentral:lncRNA from 1 species